AUCGCUACCAUUUUUUCUGAGAACCCCCAGGGGCAUAUGUGAGUGGGCGAGUAGAAUGUCAGUAUAACUGGAUACUAACAGAGCCGGUGUCUCAGUUCACAAUGAAGGGAGCAAAGUGUUGCCUCCGAAUCUGUUACAGGGCCUUUUCCUAGAAGACCAGGGGGCUGAAGACAAAGGCUCAUGUGAUUCCAGGGGACCCACCCGGCUAAUCCAGGAUAAUCUCCCCAUUUCAAGGUUGAGUGACAGAUUCCACUCUGAACUCAAAAUCACGCUCUCCAAAGAUAAAGAAACUGAAGCUCAGAGAGGUGAAUGACCUUCUGGCAGUCACACAGCCAGGAAGAGGUGGAGCCUGGAUCUGCUGUCCCUGGGCCCUUUGGAGCAGGUGGGCUCCAAAGAUAUACUCUGCCGAUUUCUUAAGGGCUGCUGAAGGGUUGCUGCUAAUGACUCCCAGCUGCCCCUUCGCUGGAGAUUAGCCCUCAGCCAAACGAGAGGCGUCCCCUGGAAGGCCAGCCCACCCUGCUUUCCUUUCCCGACCUGGGCAGACGAUGGCUGAUGACUGGCUGAUGUGGUGCAAAAGGCCACCCCAAGCCUCAAGGUAGGACAAACUCUGUGAUGCUAUUAGGGGUCCAAUAUCCUUGGUGGGACUGCGGCUUGAUCCCAGCUGAGUCUGCAUUCUGGCUUAGCUUUUACUCCUUCCCUAUCCUGCUUCCCUCACUCCCUUUCUCCUCAGGGCCUCCCCCCACCCCAUAAAUCAUCUGAAUGGGAAUCCCUGACUCAGGCUCUACUUCUGGGGAACCCUCCUGAGACAGCUGCGUUUCCUGGUCUGAGCCCUCCUUUCCGAGGACUCCUCCCAAAGCACUAAGAAAGGCUCAGGGCCGGGAAUCCUUGCCGCUGGCUCUGCUGUGUGAUGGUGAGGAAAUCACUUCGCCACCCUGAGCCUCAGUUUCCCCUUUUGUAUGGCUGGGGUUGGGGGAGCCUCUCUCAGGUCCCUUCCAGCUCUGAAGGUCUGUGAUAUGACCUGAGGUGCCAGGAAGCCUUCUCCUUUCUUAACUAGCGCCACAUGUGCAUGGAGUCCUACCAUUGGGGACUUUUCUCUGAAGGUUUUUUCAAAAUGCAAAAGCAUCUGAGAUGAGAAUGAGUUUCAUGUUAGGUGAUCAUGCUGUAGGGCAGACUCUCUCAAGGUGGGAUCCUUGGGUCACCUGAAUCCAUCACCUGAAGGGGACAGCCUGGUUGGAACUUUGGGGUGAGGUGGAAGUAGAAUCACAGAAGCUUGGACAUGCAGAGAUGGAAAGGACCCCUUGGUCCUGCAUACCCAUUUUAUGAACCAGGAAACUGAGGUUGUGUCAGGGACGGGCCUCUACUCCUGCACACUGUGUUCUGUGGCUGAGAACGCCGGGGUUGCCUCCGGGCUCUGGGGAGGAGACUUGCUUGUUUACCUUCUAACUCGCUGGUUUCACUGUCCUCCAGCUGCUGGAGGAUUGCUGCUAAUGACUCCCAGCUGCCCCUUUGCUGGAGAUGAGCCCUCAGUCAAACGAGAGGUGUCCCCUGAAAGACCAGCCCACACUGCCUUCCCUGACUUGGGCAGACUGCAGCCAAUGACUGGCUGAUGUGGCUCAAAAAGGCCACUAUUGGGGACUACCCUUGAGUCCUACCAUUGGGAACUUUUCUCUGAAGGCGUUUACAAAAUGCAAAAGCAUCUGAGAUGAGAAUGAGCUUCACGUUAGGUGAUCAUGCUGCAGGGCAGACUCUCUUAAGGUGGGAUCCUUGGAUCACCUGAAUCUAUCACCUGAAGGGGUGCUUAUUAUUAAUAUUUCCCUUCCCUUCUUCGUAUUUCUUUGAAUAUGGUAUGUGAUGUCUGGAGCUGCAGCAGCUAUCUUUCAAUCAUGAGGAAACAACAUGAGAUGUAAACAAUAAGCUAAGGAGAGUGAAGCAGAAAUAUAUAAAGAAACUGAUUUUCAAUGGCAUUUCUGAAUCAUUGCACAAAACCUGAAAACUACCUGUAGAAUCUCAGUAUGUGAAAUAAUUGUCUUCAUUGCUCAAGCAAGUCCUGGUUGAAUUUUCUGUUAUGUGCAGCCCAAAGCAUUCCAAACAAAUCAACAGUCUUUAUCUCACUGAAUCAUAAUAACACUCUUUUUAAAAAUUUAUUUAUUUAUUAUUUUUGGCUGCAUUGUAUCUUCAUUGCUGUGCACGGGCUUUCUCUAGUUGUGGCAUGUGGGGGCUACUUUUCAUUGUGGUGUGUGGGCUUCUC